rnacentral:rRNA from 1 species
GUGGGGAAUAUUGGACAAUGGGCGAAAGCCUGAUCCAGCCAUGCCGCGUGUGUGAAGAAGGUCUUCGGAUUGUAAAGCACUUUAAGUUGGGAGGAAGGGCAGUAAGUUAAUACCUUGCUGUUUUGACGUUACCGCCAGAAUAAGCACCGGCUAACUUCGUGCCAGCAGCCGCGGUAAUACGAAGGGUGCAAGAGUUAAUCGGAAUUACUGGGCGUAAAGCGCGCGUCGGUGGUUCGUUAAGUUGGAUGUGAAAGCCCCGGGCUCAACCUGGGAACUGCAUCCAAAACUGGCGAGCUAGAGGACGGUAGAGGGUGGUGGAAUUUCCUGUGUAGCGGUGAGAUGCGUAGAUAUAGGAAGGAACACCAGUGGCGAAGGCGAGCACCUGGACUGAUACUGACACUGAGGUGCGAAAGCGUGGGGAGCAAACAGGAUUAGAUACCCUAGUAGUCC